GGUGGCGCACGCCUGUAGUCCCAGC
rnacentral:piRNA from 3 species